GCUAACAGUAGCUGGCUUCCCACUGAGCACAAUAACUAUAUGCUAUAGCAUAUCCCUCCUCGUCUUUACAUCUGGAACAUGACGCCGAGAUGAGCAUCAGAGCAGCCAGACUGAGCAGGAAGAUCCAGCGACUGGAAGAAAGAGGCGACAUGAUGCUGCAAACCUGGAGGAGAGGAAGACUGAACGUCUGAAACUCUGAACGUCUGGAAGACUGAACGUCUGAAACUCUGAACGUCUGAAACUCUGAACGUCUGAAACUCUGAACGUCUGAAAGCUGCUUCGCUUCUGGAGCUGCGAUGAAGGAACCAGAGGAUGACGAUCUUUUAUAGCAGAAAAAUAGGAAGCUGUGUUGUCAUGGGACACGUCUGCAGUGGAAACAAUAAUUUUCAGAUUCUCACCUUUGCCAGUUUUUGUCGGAGUUCCUCAGAGUUUGGGUCGAUGCACCUCCACGUUCCCCUCUGGCUCUUGAUUCU